GAUGAACGCUGGCGGCGUGCCUAAUACAUGCAAGUCGAGCGAACAGACGAGGAGCUUGCUCCUCUGACGUUAGCGGCGGACGGGUGAGUAACACGUGGAUAACCUACCUAUAAGACUGGGAUAACUUCGGGAAACCGGAGCUAAUACCGGAUAAUAUAUUGAACCGCAUGGUUCAAUAGUGAAAGACGGUUUUGCUGUCACUUAUAGAUGGAUCCGCUCCGCAUUAGCUAGUUGGUAAGGUAACGGCUUACCAAGGCAACGAUGCGUAGCCGACCUGAGAGGGUGAUCGGCCACACUGGAACUGAGACACGGUCCAGACUCCUACGGGAGGCAGCAGUAGGGAAUCUUCCGCAAUGGGCGAAAGCCUGACGGAGCAACGCCGCGUGAGUGAUGAAGGUCUUCGGAUCGUAAAACUCUGUUAUUAGGGAAGAACAAAUGUGUAAGUAACUAUGCACGUCUUGACGGUACCUAAUCAGAAAGCCACGGCUAACUACGUG
rnacentral:rRNA from 1 species